GAUGAACGCUGGCGGCGUGCCUAAUACAUGCAAGUCGAGCGAACAGACGAGGAGCUUGCUCCUCUGACGUUAGCGGCGGACGGGUGAGUAACACGUGUAUAACCUACCUAUAGGACUGGGACAACUUCGGGAAACCGGAGCUAAUACCGGAUAAUAUAUUGAACCGCAUGGUUCAAUAGUGAAAGACGGUUUUGCUGUCACUUAUAGAUGGAUCCGCGCCUCAUUAGCUAGUUGGUAAGGUAACGGCUUACCAAGGCAACGAUGCGUAGCCGACCUGAGAGGGUGAUCGGCCACACUGGAACUGAGACACGGUCCAGACUCCUACGGGAGGCAGCAGUAGGGAAUCUUCCGCAAUGGGCGAAAGCCUGACGGAGCAACGCCGCGUGAGUGAUGAAGGUCUUCGGAUCGUAAAACUCUGUUAUUAGGGAAGAACAAAUGUGUAAGUAACUAUGCACGUCUUGACGGUAACUAAUCAGAAAGCCACGGCUAACUACGUG
rnacentral:rRNA from 1 species